UGGGGAAUAUUGCACAAUGGGCGAAAGCCUGAUGCAGCAACGCCGCGUGAGUGAUGAAGGCCUUCGGGUUGUAAAGCUCUGUCUUUUGGGACGAUGAUGACGGUACCAAAGGAGGAAGCCACGGCUAACUACGUGCCAGCAGCCGCGGUAAUACGUAGGUGGCAAGCGUUGUCCGGAUUUACUGGGCGUAAAGGAUGCGUAGGCGGAUUUUUAAGUGAGAUGUGAAAUACCCGGGCUUAACUUGGGUGCUGCAUUUCAAACUGGGAAUCUAGAGUGCGGGAGAGGAGAAUGGAAUUCCUAGUGUAGCGGUGAAAUGCGUAGAGAUUAGGAAGAACACCAGUGGCGAAGGCGAUUCUCUGGACCGUAACUGACGCUGAGGCAUGAAAGCGUGGGUAGCAAACAGGAUUAGAUACCCUGGUAGUCCACGCCGUAAACGAUGAGUACUAGGUGUAGGAGGUAUCGACCCCUUCUGUGCCGCAGUUAACACAAUAAGUACUCCGCCUGGGAAGUACGAUCGCAAGAUUAAAACUCAAAGGAAUUGACGGGGUCAUAGCUG
rnacentral:rRNA from 1 species